rnacentral:rRNA from 1 species
UGGUGGAGUGAUUUGUCUGGUUAAUUCCGUUAACGAACGAGACCUCAGCCUGCUAAAUAAUGGUAUGAAUGAUUCGUCAUUGAUAGCCGUUUCUUAGAGGGACAUGGAGUUUUAAGCUCCAGGAAGAUUGAGGCAAUAACA